rnacentral:misc_RNA from 1 species
GAUGAAGAACGUAGCGAAAUGCGAUAAGUAAUGUGAAUUGCAGAAUUCAGUGAAUCAUCGAAUCUUUGAAUGCACAUUGCGCCCGGCAGUAAUCUGCCGGGCAUGCCUGUCCGAGCGUCAUUUCACCCCUCGAGCCGCUUUUAGUGGAUCGGUGUUGGGGCACUACGGUAAAACGUAGGCCCUGAAAUGAAGUGGCGGUCCCGCCGCGGUGCCCCCAUGCGUAGUAACGUUUAGUCUCGCAUCGGGUCCCGGCGGAGGCCUGCCGUCAAGACUAUUUAUUCUCAGAAUAGUUUGACCUCGGAUCAGGUAGGGUUACCCGCUGAACUUAAGCAUAUCAAUAAGCGGAGGA